GAUGAACGCUAGCUACAGGCUUAACACAUGCAAGUCGAGGGGUAACGAGAGGAAAGCUUGCUUUCCUUGUCGACGACCGGCGCACGGGUGAGUAACGCGUAUCCAACCUGCCCCCAACUAGGGAAUAACCUUGCGAAAGUAAGACUAAUACCCUAUAAUUUCCUCAGAUGUCAUCUGACGAGGAAUAAAGAUUUAUCGGUUGUGGAUGGGGAUGCGUCUGAUUAGCUUGUUGGCGGGGUAACGGCCCACCAAGGCAACGAUCAGUAGGGGUUCGGAGAGGAAGGUACCCCACGUUGGAACUGAGACACGGUCCAAACGGCUACGGGAGGCAGCAGUGAGGAAUAUUGGUCAAUGGGCGGGAGCCUGAACCAGCCAAGUAGCGUGCAGGAUGACGGCCCUAUGGGUUGUAAACUGCUUUUAUACAGGAAUAAAGUUAGACACGUGUGGUUAUUUGUAGGUACUGUAUGAAUAAGGACCGGCUAAUUCCGUGCCAGCCGCCGCAGUAA
rnacentral:rRNA from 1 species